rnacentral:rRNA from 1 species
GACGAACGCUGGCGGCGUGCUUAACACAUGCAAGUCGAACGGAAAGGCCCCCUUGUGGGGUACUCGAGUGGCGAACGGGUGAGUAACACGUGAGUAACCUACCCUUUACUUUGGGAUAACUUCAGGAAAAUGGGGCUAAUACCGGAUAGGAGCUCCUGCUGCAUGGUGGGGGUUGGAAAGUUUCGGCGGUUGGGGAUGGACUCGCGGCUUAUCAGCUUGUUGGUGGGGUAGUGGCUCACCAAGGCUUUGACGGGUAGCCGGCCUGAGAGGGUGACCGGCCACAUUGGGACUGAGAUACGGCCCAGACUCCUACGGGAGGCAGCAGUGGGGAAUAUUGCACAAUGGGCGGAAGCCUGAUGCAGCAACGCCGCGUGCGGGAUGACGGCCUUCGGGUUGUAAACCGCUUUCGCCUGUGACGAAGCGUGAGUGACGGUAAUGGGUAAAGAAGCACCGGCUAACUACGU